rnacentral:rRNA from 1 species
AGUGAACGCUGGCGGUAGGCCUAACACAUGCAAGUCGAACGGCAGCACAGUAAGGGCUUGCUCUUACGGGUGGCGAGUGGCGGACGGGUGAGGAAUACAUCGGAAUCUACUUUUUCGUGGGGGAUAACGUAGGGAAACUUACGCUAAUACCGCAUACGACCUACGGGUGAAAGCAGGGGAUCUUCGGACCUUGCGCGAUUGAAUGAGCCGAUGUCGGAUUAGCUAGUUGGCGGGGUAAAGGCCCACCAAGGCGACGAUCCGUAGCUGGCCUGAGAGGAUGAUCAGCCACACUGGAACUGAGACACGGUCCAGACUCCUACGGGAGGCAGCAGUGGGGAAUAUUGGACAAUGGGCGCAAGCCUGAUCCAGCCAUACCGCGUGGGUGAAGAAGGCCUUCGGGUUGUAAAGCCCUUUUGUUGGGAAAGAAAAGCAGCAGGUUAAUACCCCGCUGUUCUGACGGUACCCAAAGAAUAAGCACCGGCUAACUUCGUG